AUACGGAGGAUCCGAGCGUUAUCCGGAUUUAUUGGGUUUAAAGGGUGCGCAGGCGGCCAUUUACGUCAGCGGUUAAAUCGUGGGGCUCAACCCCAUUCUGCCGUUGAUACUGGGUGGCUUGAUUGCGGUCGAGGUUGGCGGAAUUCGUUGUGUAGCGGUGAAAUGCAUAGAUAUGACGAAGAACACCGAUUGCGUAGGCAGCUGACCAGACCGCAAAUGACGCUCAUGCACGAAAGUGCGGGGAUCGAACAGGAUUAGAUACCCUGGUAGUCCGCACAGUAAACGAUGAAUACUUGUUUUCGGCGAUAUAAUGUCGGAGGCUAAGCGAAAGCGAUAAGUAUUCCACCUGGGGAGUACGCCGGCAACGGUGAAACUCAAAUGAAUUGACGGGG
rnacentral:rRNA from 1 species